UUUUGAUAUUUGCAUAUGAUACCAUCAUAUCCAUUUUCUUAAUUUGCAAUUAAAUAAUAAAAUGCCAAACAUGACCUGUGUUACAUAAACUGUCAACAAAAUAACAAGACAAUACCUAAAAACACCCUUAUUUCACACCACUAACAAUAAACAGAUAACAAUCUGUCAGGCAUUCAGAGCUAAACAGGGUACUGAUUAUCUAGGGGUAGAUAAGGCUACUGAUGGGGUUUGCCUAGAGAUAAGGCUGUGUGGAAUAAGAUAUAAGGCUUUUGAUUGGCUAUUGCACUGAGGAAGUUAUCUUUUUGAAAACAACAACUUUUGAAAAAUAAGCUGGUGUCAGCAAUUGAAUAUUGAGCUAAAUUUAAUUCAGCAACAUUAAUAUAAUGAAGUGAAAGACUUAUAAUGGUAGUGUAAAAUGUCUUGAAAUUCUGUCAGCAUGAAGUAUUGUGUGAUGAAAACAAUGUGUUUUUUACUGCAAUGUGGAAAUCAAUAAUAAGUUGGUUGGAAAGGAGGUUGAACUGCCUGUUGUUGUUUUUGGAAUACUGAAGAACAGUUUUAACAGGUUUGUAUUGUCAUUUCUUCACCCCUUUUUUUAUUUAGUUUAUUGAAUUAAUUAUGAUCAUUAUCAUAUUUAUGUAUUGUCACUGGGAAAUGUAAAUGGAUAAGUUAUUGUAUUGCAAUUUAAAGGAUAAACAACACAUUUUGAAGCAAAAAUAGAUAAACUUACACAUGAAAAAGUGUAAAUGUUGUGUACAGUGAAUAAUUAUGGUUGUGUUUCAUGGUUAUUGUCAUCUAAAAUUUUAUUUAUAUCUAUUUCUGGUUAUUACUGAA